AUUAAAGAUGUCAAUUUAUCCUUCUGCAGAUAAAUUUAACUGCUUAAUUUUAGACUGAGAUUAACUAUUUUUCAUGAUGGUAGCUUGACAGUUUUCAGUAUCUAAGCGUGACCAGGGUGAAAUUGUGAUGGAAAAACUUUUCAUAUCAGUAAUUUAUUCUUUAAAUCAAUGCUAAUAGUUAGUCCUAGGGCUAGAAAUUUAAUAACAGCAUAAUGAUUAUUAAAGAUUGCUUAGAGGAAAUUAAAUGCCCCCAAAAGGUGUUGCUUUUACAAUAACGACAAUAUCUGUGCUUAAAAUUCAAAUCAGCUUUUCCUAAUUACCCAUGAAAAAUUACUACUUCACUUUUAUGGAUUCAACCCAUAAAAGUUUUCUUCCUUCGAACAGCUACCUGGGGAUACGAGGUCAGCAAAUACUGCUUUAGCUGUCCCCAUGUCUAUGGGGCAUCUCUGGAGGGGACUCAACCUGUGAGGAGUCAAAUGGGCUGCUUUGUCAAGGGGCUGGUGCUUGGCAGACUUUUGUAACACGUCUCCUGCCAAGAGCUCUUUCCAGCAGACGGUAACAGCUGGGUUAUGACUGACUUCGAAAAGUGCAGAAGGAGCCCUUAUGAAGGGCCCAUUGUACUAUCCCAAUGAUUUUUUCUUGCGAGCAGGCUUUUGCUGUACCAUGGCAUCAUUUAUUCAGGCAAUUGGGGAGGAUAUGCGUUAAGACAGCUGGCAUGGUAAAGCAGAGUGCUGGACUGGCUCCUGAGUGAAGUCCCAGUGACUUGAAUGGGAUUUCACCUUUUUGUAGAUGAAAUAUAGAGCUUAUAGGAGAAAGGGCUCUUCUUACUGCUGAUGUUUGAAAAUACUUGUGGUACUGAAUGGUUUUAUUACUGUAAGAGUAAUACCAAAUAAUACUGUAAGAGUAACCAAAAAGGCAAUUUAGGAAAAAGCAGAAGGGCGCCUCAAUCUCUAUAGCAGUCUUUUUAUUUAUGGAUAGAUCCGUGUCACACAAUAAUCUGUACAACAAAUGACUAUGUAAACCAAUUUACUCAUUCUAAAUGUAUAUUAUAAAUAAACAGUUUAUGUCAAAAUU
ensembl:lncRNA